AUUGAACGCUGGCGGCAGGCUUAACACAUGCAAGUCGAACGGAGUGGCGAACGGGUGAGUAACACGUGGGUGACCUGCCCUGCACUUCGGGAUAAGCCUGGGACACUGGGUCUAAUACCGGAUAGUGGGGGAUGGGCCCGCGGCCGAUCAGCUUGGUGGUGGGGUAAUGGCCUACCAAGGCGGCGACGGGUAGCCGGCCUGAGAGGGUGGACGGCCACAGUGGGACUGAGAAACGGCCCAGAAGCCUACGGGAGGCAUCAGUGGGGAAUAUUGCACACUGGGCGGAAGCCUGAUGCAGCGACGCCGCGUGGGGGAUGACGGCCUUCGGGUUGUAAACUCCUUUCACCAUCGACGCGGUAGAUGGAGAAGAAGCACCGGCUAACUACGUGCCAGCCGCCGCGGUAAUAC
rnacentral:rRNA from 1 species